UUAAGUGUGGGUUGUUGCUCACAUAAAGCCUUUCUAUAGUUACAAAGCGUUGAAUAUAUUGCACGACACACACACGCCAAUUUAGAGUGUUUUACAAAAACAAAAAUAGUACUAGUUUGACGCAUCAUGACGAGGGACUCGGUAAUGACAGGAUUUUCUUGGAGGACUGUCGCUUUAAGAGCGUUGCACACCUGACUCCCAGAAACAGGUGGGAAAUAUUGUGAUAAAGGAGUAAUAUGAUCAGAGUUCGUUUGUUUGUUAGUUACCCAUCUGGUACCUAAACAUUUGAGAAAAAAAAAAAAAAAAAAAAGUUGAAAAGUUACUUUUCUUUCCAAGGUCGCGACACACAAUGUAAACCUAGCGAGACUGAUAACUAAUCACCGUCACGGGACUCCAGAAGCGCACCGUGAUGCCCAACACACUGAACGCACCUAUUCUGAGACAUUAGACAAACCAACAAUUCAUCUUUUGAGCUACAAAAUGCUUCUACAAUACGAGUACAAUGCGCUCGCAUUCAGGGAUGAAAGGUUUCUGCUGUAAAACUGGAUGUGAAAAAAGCUGAGACGUGGCCUUUAAGAGUGAUUGGCAGGCGGUGGGCGGGGCUACCAGUGAGCAGCCUUCUGCAAGAUGACCCCAAGAAGGACUUCUCGGAGUGGACGCUUUGUCUAUUCCUUUGUGUUAGGAAUAAUAGCAAGCUCAAUAAACUGUGAAGGAUAUGUAAUAGUCUCCACCGGAUAGUUGAUCUGGGCGCUGAUCUGGAAGGGAGAAUUCGC